AUUCAGUAAAUGUCCCAAUGGACCAUAGAACUCGCUGUCGUUGCUAAAAGAGUUUGAGUUUGCGUUCAAGUCUUUUAAGAGCAACCCCAAUAUAACAUUUCAACGAAAGUAUUGCUGUCUGAAUUCGUAAUUCGUAAUUUUCAGUGUAAGAACGGGCACCAGGUUCAUGACGAACACCUACUGCCCUUACACCUACAUCUCACCCUUGCUCUGAGUCAGUACGAGCAAAACGCUAGAACACGCUUUAAGUUUUCGUGCCAGGCAUUUGCACCUGUUCCGGUUACGCAUUUGAACUCGUUUCGGAGGUGGUACACUGCGUAGGGUUUGAUGUAAGUAUUUAUAUGCGCCUUACUAUUUAUAGUGUGCCUAAUAGCAAAAAGUGUAUUAUUUAUAGUUUGAAUUAAAAAACUAAUUGUUAUUUUA